AAUAGAUACCCGGGUAGUCCACGCCGUAAACGAUGAGUGCUAGGUGUUGGGGGGUUCCACCCUCAGUGCUGAAGUUAACACAUUAAGCACUCCGCCUGGGGAGUACGACCGCAAGGUUGAAACUCAAAGGAAUUGACGGGGGCCCGCACAAGCAGUGGAGCAUGUGGUUUAAUUCGAAGCAACGCGAAGAACCUUACCAGGUCUUGACAUCCUUUGACCACCCUAGAGAUAGAGCUUUCCCCUUCGGGGGACAAAGUGACAGGUGGUGCAUGGUUGUCGUCAGCUCGUGUCGUGAGAUGUUGGGUUAAGUCCCGCAACGAGCGCAACCCUUGACCUUAGUUGCCAGCAUUCAGUUGGGCACUCUAAGGUGACUGCCGGUGACAAACCGGAGGAAGGUGGGGACGACGUCAAAUCAUCAUGCCCCUUAUGACCUGGGCUACACACGUGCUACAAUGGAUGAUACAAAGGGUUGCGAAGCCGCGAGGCCAAGCCAAUCCCAAAAAGUCAUUCUCAGUUCGGAUUGUAGGCUGCAACUCGCCUAC
rnacentral:rRNA from 1 species